rnacentral:lncRNA from 1 species
CUUUGAAGUUCUUUGUCUUUCUGUGGGGAAGAAGUCAUGGGCAAAUGAUACCAUUUCCAGGGGAAGCCCCUCCGCUAGGGGCCUCUUGUUCCUCUGCCACUCAGCCCCCAGAGGCAGGAAGUUACCUGUGCCUGACCCCUGCAAACAUGGUGACCUGGCUGAGCUCCCCACUCUGAGCACUGACUUUUAGAACACAAAGGACAAGCUGUUAGGUAUUUAUACCAACACAUGCACUUUAGAUGGGCCCUCGUUUCUUCCUGAAAGGAAUCCAAAAUCUCUGUUGGAACUGAAAACAUUUUAUAUUUAUGUAUCACCAGUUAUUGAGGGAACACAAAGUGCUCAGCGAAUAUGAUCUCAUUAGUCCUCACAACAGCCCUGAGGGAAGAAGCUGGCAAGAAUUCUUAUCCUCCUUGGAGAGGUGAGAGUGGGAGGGCUCAGGAGUCUGCUCGAGGGCAUCAGGGUGAUGGUGAGGGAGCACAGAGCUCAGGAGAGGGGCAUCCGUUGGUGCAGCCUCUGUGCUUACUGCAGGUCCUGGGGAUGAGCAAAAUCCUGGGAACAGCUCACUGUCUCCCAGCAUGGGCUCUGAUAGAUAUGCUAUGGUACAAACAAUGCAAGGCUAUUUUGAUACUCAAAAGCUCCAUACAUUGGGCAUGGAAAGAUGUCCAAGACAUUUAGGUGAGAAAUGCAAGUUGCAAGGUGAUUAUGCUAUAUAAUCACCCUUUACUGCAAAGUAGAUGGUAUGUAACAUUAAGAGAAAAAGUCUGAACCCAUAUUGCCAAAUUAUAUAUGAAAUAUAAGGUAUGUCUUUGUGUGUUAGUAUUUUCAGGGGAGAUAUCUAGGAGAAUGUGUAUUAAAUUUCAUAUGAAAUAUAAUUAUGCAUUUUUUGUAUUAGAUUUUCAAGGGAAAGUUCUAGAAGAACAUGCAACAAUGGUUAUCUCUAUUGGUCAGAUUAAAGGUCCUUUGAUUUCCUUAAUCACACGUAUGUUAAAUGCUUGAAUCUUUUUGUAAUGUGCAUAUUUUUCUUUGGUAAUCAGGUUAAGAAUUUCUAAAAACCAGAAAAAGGGAAAUCCUUUAUAUCAUCUAGAAAACAUUAGAAAUAGAAAAUAAAAC